CUAGGAACAGCAAUUGGCUUCCUAGGCAACCGCUGGUGGCCUGAACACAUUACUGCAGUAUUUACAUGGCAAUGUUAUCAAGGACCAGUGAAGUUGUCACUACUUGCAAAAAUAUGUCUAGUAUUGCAAUAGUUUUCUCAACUGCCUCCAGUGGAAGAACUUGCUCCUUUUAAAGAAUUUUGAAUUGGCUACAGUUCGACUAUAGUAUAUAUUGUCUGUUCAGAGCAUUACAAAUUGCAAUCAGUA